rnacentral:lncRNA from 1 species
CCAGCUUGCGGCAUUUUUACAAUUAACCUUUUCUUUCUUUUUUUACAGCCACACCUGUGGCACAGGGAAAUUCCUGGGCCAGGGAUCAAACCCAAGCUGAAGCUGUGACCUACACCACAGGCACAGCAAUGCCAGAUCCUUUAACCCACUGAGCCUGGACAGGAACCAAACUCGAAUCUCCCCAGUGGUCCAAGCCUCUGCAGUUGGAUUGUUUGUUUUUGUCUUGUUUUGUCUUUUUAGGGCUGCACCCAUGGCAUAUGGAAGUUCCCAGGCUAGGCCUCAAAUGGAGCGGUAGGUGUCGGCCUGCACCACAGUCAUAGCAACGUCUAAUUCCUAACCCACUGAGCAAGGCCAGGGAUCGAAGCCGUGUCAUCAUGCAUAUUAGUCAGGUUUCUUACUGCUGAGCCGUGACAGGAACUCCCUGCAGUUGGAUUCUUUUUUUUUUGUUUUUGUCUUUUUGCCAUUUCUUGGGCCACUCCCGCGGCAUAUGGAGCAGCCCUAGAAAAGGCAAAAAGACCAAAAAAAAAAAAAAAAAAAAAAAAAGUAUAGUUGAUUUUCAAUGUUGUGCCAAUUUCUAUUGUCCAGCCAAAUGGCCUAGUCAUACACACAUACACAUCCCGUUUCUUCUAUCAUCUUCCAUCGCGGUCUAUCCCAAGGGACUGGAUAUGGUUCCCUGUGCUGCACACUAGGACCUGACUGCUUAUCCAUUUGAAACCUAAUAGUUUGCGUCUACUAACCCCAAACUCCCUGUCCAUCCGCCUCCCUCCACUGCCCCCCACGGCAACCACAAGUCUGUUCUCCAUGUCUGUGAGUCUGCUUCUGUUUUACAGAUAGGUUCGCUUGUGCCAUAUCUUAGAUUCCACAUAUAAGUGGUAUCAUUUGGUAUCUGUCUCUUUCUGACUCACUCCACUUAGUAUGAGAAUCUCUAGCUGCAUCCACGUUGCUGCAAAUGGCACUCUUUCUUUCUUUUCAUGGCUGAGUAGUAUUCUAUUGUGUAUAUGUAUCACAUCUUCAUCUACUCAUCUGUCGGACAUUUAGGUUGUUUCCAUGUCU